UACGUAGGGUGCAAGCGUUGUCCGGAAUUUAUUGGGCGUAAAGAGCUCGUAGGCGGUCUGUCGCGUCUGCUGUGAAAAUCCAGGGCUCAACCCUGGACCUGCAGUGGGUACGGGCAGACUAGAGUGCGGUAGGGGAGAUCGGAAUUCCUGGUGUAGCGGUGAAAUGCGCAGAUAUCAGGAGGAACACCGGUGGCGAAGGCGGAUCUCUGGGCCGUAACUGACGCUGGAGGAGCGAAAGCAUGGGGAGCGAACA
rnacentral:rRNA from 1 species